rnacentral:rRNA from 1 species
GAUGAACGCUAGCGGCAGGCUUAAUACAUGCAAGUCGUGGGGCAGCAGGUUUGUAGCAAUACAGAUGCUGGCGACCGGCAAACGGGUGCGGAACACGUACAGAACCUUCCUUUGAGCGGGGAAUAGCCCAGAGAAAUUUGGAUUAAUACCCCAUAGUAUAAUGAAGUGGCAUCACUUUAUUAUUAAAGAUUUAUCACUCGAAGAUGGCUGUGCGGCUGAUUAGGUAGUUGGCGGGGUAAAGGCCCACCAAGCCUGCGAUCAGUAACUGGUGUGAGAACACGACCAGUCACACGGGCACUGAGACACGGGCCCGACUCCUACGGGAGGCAGCAGUAAGGAAUAUUGGUCAACGGAGGCAACUCUGAACCAGCCAUGCCGCGUGGAGGAUGAAAGUCCUCUGGAUUGUAAACUUCUUUAUAUGGGACGAAAAAAGGCUUUUCUAAGUCGUCUGACGGUACCAUAUGAAUAAGCACCGGCUAACUCCGUGCCAGCAGCCGCGGUAAUC